CAUGUCUUUUUGUUAAUGAUUUAAGGUCCGGCCUGCUCAAUGAGGUUUAAAUUGCCGCAGUAUUUUAACUGUGCAAAGGUAGCGUAAUAAUUAGUUUCUUAAUUAGAAGCUUGAAUGAAUGGUUUGACGAGAAAAUUUCUGUCUCUGUUUUAUUUUUUAUUGAAUUUUAUUUUUAAGUUAAAAAGCUUAAAUUUUUUUAAAAGACGAGAAGACCCUUUAGAGUUUUAUUUUUUGAUUUAUUUACUGUUUAGGAAUAAGAUUAGAUUAAAUUAUUUGGUUGGGGUGACUCGGGGAUUAAUUAAAUUCUUUGAUUUUGGGAUUGUUGAUUUUUAAAUUUAUUUUCUGUAUUUUCAAGUUUAAAUUAAAUUACCUUAGGGAUAACAGCGUAAUUUUUCUUUAAAGUUCUUAUUAAAAGGAGAGUUUGCGACCUCGAUGUUGGAUUAAAAUAAAUUUUUGGUGCAGUAACUUAGGGAUUAGGUCUGUUCGACCUUUAAAAUUUUACAUGAUCUGAGUUUAGACCGGCGUGAGCCAGGUUAGAUUCUAUCUUUAGGAUUUUAUAAUAUUUUAGUACGAAAGGACCAAAUAUUGGUUAUAUUAAUUG
rnacentral:rRNA from 1 species